rnacentral:lncRNA from 1 species
GUCCCAAUGGAGCUUAGAAUGAGGAACACUAUUUUGACAACUGGACAUAAAUAAGUUUGUUUUUCAGGAUUCCAAAGCUGUGUUUUAUCUUGGCAGCUGCCUUGGUCUGUUUCACUGGAAAAUGGCUGUUUGAGUGAGGAAGAAAAAUGCAACUGUGGACUAUACAAAGCUCAUUUUGGAGAUAGGAAACUAAUCCAGCUAGUGAUCAGACAGAACCAACUCACUAGCAACAUGCUCCUUUGAAUGAGGUCAACUGUCUGCUCACAGCCAUGAUGUCAGUUCUCGAGGGUUAUAUUUAAUAUGCUUCUCACACUACAGAGAAAAAAAAAUGACUACAUUAGAGCACUUCUGCGAGGCUACUUGAAAAAGGCAGUCAGCUGCCACAGACAAACCAGAUGCUAUCGCAGCGCUUUUACUGGAGAUACAGCACUGCCGUCAUGACCGUUUAGUUCUUUAAAUACCAGCCUCUGCUCGUCUAGUUGGAGGAGCUCACCCUGAGACGACAGCUGUGGGCGUUCAUCAGUCUCAGGGAGAUAACUGGCGGUGAGGUG